rnacentral:rRNA from 1 species
GACGAACGCUGGCGGCGUGCUUAACACAUGCAAGUCGAACGAUGAAGAAGAGCUUGCUCUUCGGAUUAGUGGCGAACGGGUGAGUAACACGUGACUAACCUGCCCCUUUCUCUGGGAUAACGCUCCGAAAGGAGUGCUAAUACCGGAUACUCACAUCGAGGCACAUGCCUUGAUGUGGAAAGUUUUUCGGAAAGGGAUGGAGUCGCGGCCUAUCAGCUUGUUGGUGAGGUAGCGGCUCACCAAGGCGACGACGGGUAGCCGGCCUGAGCGGGCGACCGGCCACACUGGGACUGAGACACGGCCCAGACUCCUACGGGAGGCAGCAGUGGGGAAUAUUGCACAAUGGGCGAAAGCCUGAUGCAGCGACGCCGCGUGAGGGAGGAAGGUCUUCGGAUUGUAAACCUCUUUCAGUAGGGACGAAGCGAAAGUGACGGUACCUAAAGAAGAAGCACCGGCUAACUACGUGCCAGCCGCCGCCGUAA